GACGAACGCUGGCGGCGUGCUUAACACAUGCAAGUCGAACGGAAAGGCCCUGCUUUUGUGGGGUGCUCGAGUGGCGAACGGAUGAGUAACACGUGAGUAACCUGCCCUUGACUUUGGGAUAACUUCAGGAAACUGGGGCUAAUACCGGCUAGGAGCUCCUGCUGCAUGGUGGGGGUUGGAAAGUUUCGGCGGUUGGGGAUGGACUCGCGGCUUAUCAGCUUGUUGGUGGGGUAGUGGCUUACCAAGGCUUUGACGGGUAGCCGGCCUGAGAGGGUGACCGGCCACAUUGGGACUGAGAUACGGACCAGACGCCUACGGGAGGCAGUAGUGGGGAAUAUUGCACAAUGGGCGGAAGCCUGAUGCAGCAACGCCGCGUGCGGGAUGAAGGCCUUCGGGUUGUAAACCGCUUACGCCUGUGACGAAGCGUGAGUGACGGUAAUGGGUAAAGAAGCAACGGCUAACUACGUG
rnacentral:rRNA from 1 species